CACUCUUCAUCUUCACUGAAACUCCGCUUCUAUUUUUCUCUGAAUCUAAGUCUAACAUGGAUUAUAGAAUUUAUUGAUAUUCAUACUCAAAUCAAAGACAAGCCCAAGAAAGUGUCGCUUUCUUGGUAGGGCUCCAGAAAUCUUUACAAGCGAUUCAAAAUCUACUUUGUAAAUAGUAUUGGUUGUGUUUAAACCAACUGCUUCUUGUUUUAUAUAUCAAGAACAUUUGAUACUAUUCUGUGGGAGUACCUUCCCUCAUUGCUUCUUUUAAAGGCAAAAUUCUGUUACCUUCAUCUCAUUUAAUGUACAAGUACUUGUUUUGUCAGUGUAGAUAUGUCUUACCUCAGUGUCUCACAAUCAGAGAUCCCUAGCCAAGGCAUGAUCAACUAUCAUGUAUUUCAUAGAAUAAGCCAAAGUUGUCUACCAGCUAGAGGCAGACCUUUUGCAAUUGCCAACACCACGAUUAUGACUAGCAGUGACAAUACCAACAAGUGCAUUGAAAUAUGUUGGUGCUGCCCAUCUCUCAAUACGUCCACCCUGAUGUCUCCACUCUUUGGGGAGAACUUUUCAAAUUGCCUGGAUUGCUUUAAGUUAUAGACAGCAGAAACAGCAACAACUAGAAUGACAGCAACAAUAAUUCCACCAUGAUAAUUGUAUGCUGUUUGAUUCCGAAGGCAGAGAGAUUAUAGCAGAGGCCAAAAGUACAAUAACAGUGGUUGCCUCAAGCGCUUUAAAGACAACUGAGAAGGCCUUUCGUUGGUUCUUUCUGGUUCCAAGAACCACAGCCAGUGCUUUUACUCCAUACUGACUCAAAGCCUCACUGAGCCACUUCAGAUCAACACUGAGAAGGGCAAUGGAUUUGUUAUGCAAGCAACCCUCAUCAACAGGCUGAACAUCAAUGGUCUUGGUCAAUUGGUGCUCUAUAUGUGAAAGAUCAGUUGUAAAUCAGUACACCAUCUUUGGUUCAAUGCUUAGUAGGUCAUGAUUUUUGGUCCUUUCUUCUGUUGCUUUUGGGUUACAUUGGUUGAUGCCAAGAAUUGAUAGAUGUUAUUGCUGCUGGAAAGGUACAUAUAACCAGAACAUAAGUAGCAUCUGGCAGUUCCUCACUGUCUUAUGCGGACAAUUUGGAGGGACUUGAAUAACUGAACAUUUGAAGUCAUGGAGAAACAAGUUAAAGCGACCAAAAUCUAGUUCCUGAAUCUGCAAAUUGAAUGUUGUACAAUGAAUUUUUUGGGGACCAUUUAAAUUUAUGAUUGUAAUUCUUUAAGAGGCUCUACAUUUUGAACA